GGACCCCUAGCUCAGUGGUAGAGCGUGAGAUUCCAGCACGGCGCAGUAUUCGCCGCAGCAGACCUUGCGGCGAACGCUGCGCAGGAGAUUCCUCAAGGUCAUCCGUUCAAUCCGGGUGGGGUUCA